rnacentral:rRNA from 1 species
CCGUGGAAGGGGAAAGGUGGGGGAUCGCAAGACCUCACGUUAUUCGAGCGGCCGACGUCUGAUUAGCUAGUUGGUGGGGUAAAGGCCUACCAAGGCGACGAUCAGUAGCGGGUCUGAGAGGAUGAUCUGCCACACUGGGACUGAGACACGGCCCAGACUCCUACGGGAGGCAGCAGUGGGGAAUUUUGGACAAUGGGGGCAACCCUGAUCCAGCCAUUCCGCGUGAGUGAAGAAGGCCUUCGGGUUGUAAAGCUCUUUCAGCUGGAGUGAAACGGUGCGCUCUAACAUAGCGCGCUAAUGACGGUACCAGCAGAAGAAGCACCGGCUAACUACGUG